rnacentral:rRNA from 1 species
AUUGAACGCUGGCGGCAUGCUUUACACAUGCAAGUCGAACGGCAGCGCGGGCUUCGGCCUGGCGGCGAGUGGCGAACGGGUGAGUAAUACAUCGGAACGUGCCCAGUAGUGGGGGAUAGCUCGGCGAAAGCCGGAUUAAUACCGCAUACGACCUGAGGGUGAAAGCGGGGGAUCUUCGGACCUCGCGCUAUUGGAGCGGCCGAUGGCUGAUUAGCUAGUUGGUGGGGUAAAGGCCUACCAAGGCGACGAUCUGUAGCUGGUCUGAGAGGACGACCAGCCACACUGGGACUGAGACACGGCCCAGACUCCUACGGGAGGCAGCAGUGGGGAAUUUUGGACAAUGGGCGAAAGCCUGAUCCAGCAAUGCCGCGUGUGUGAUGAAGGCCUUCGGGUUGUAAAGCACUUUUGGCGGGAACGAAAAGGACUGUGCCAAUACCACGGUUCGAUGACGGUACCCGCAGAAUAAGCACCGGCUAACUACGUG